rnacentral:lncRNA from 1 species
CCCCUAUCUCAUCUGAUUCCUCAAAACCUUCUGUUUGCACAAGAAACCGUCACACAAUACUCUGUCUAAUUAAAAUCCUCUGAUGAUCGACGGCCAGUCAGCGACGAUGAGCAGGUUGACUGAGACAAAUGUACGAUGGCAUCUUUAACUUGACUAUGCGUUGUUUUGAAAUGGUUUUCAUUUCUGUUUUGGUGGAUUUCUUCAUUUUUUUUGUUUGGUUCGGAAUUUUCAAAGUUCUAUACCUUGCUUUUUGCUGGACAUAAAAUGGGUAGAUUUCACUACUUAUCUGCGUGUGUGUGGGCUGAAUCCUUUGCGUAUAUCUCAUCGAUGAUUCAAUUAUCGAUUAAUGUGAAAUGGUUUAGUGUUUGAUUAUUUGGAAUUAAUUAUUAUUAUUAUUAUUAUUAUUAUUUUGUGAUAGCAUAUUGAUUUUGCCUUGGGUUGCUAUAAAUUUUGUAAUUUUCUGAGCUUUUUACCGUCCUUUUUCAAAAAAUAAUUGAGGGUUUCUUGUGGAUAAACAAUGGCAUUAAACAAAGAAGAAAAAGAGAUUUGAUUGGACUAGCACUUAAUUUUCUCUUUACGUUUUUGUGGACAGCAUUUGCUUUUAUAUUUUUGUAGAGAUCCCUGACAAGUUUGUUAUAUUUAGUUUGGUCUAUCAUCUAGAUUUAUGUCAAAAUAUAUGGUUGCCUUGCAUAAACUAUCGUAUAAUCUACAUCCUAUUCUUCUCAUCUCGGGCUUAGUGAGAUGGUACAGUCUAAAAAAAAUACAUCGAGGAGGAUGUAAGAGAGACCAAGUGGUUAAAGGGAUCCCAUUCGAGUCAUCCGAGCAGGGAUCCUUUCACUUUCCUGGGUUACGUGGUGAUAUUGAAGCCAUUGAACGUAGUUUCUUUUGGCGGUAUCAACCAUUUCUUUGAAGCAGUCGAAGAGAUAAAGAAUGAUUUCUUUAGUGCAAUAGCGGUUCCUUUGGAAUUUUAGCAAUCAAAUGGCAUUAUAUAGCUGGACAUUUUCAAUUUUCAAAUCUAUGGAAGUGAAUGUAACUCUUCAACCAUUAUGACACAACUAAAUUCGUUUUACGCUGCCUGCUUCUCAAGGUGAAUAUCAAUUGCCAUAAACAACAGAAAUUCCCACAUUUUAAAUAGUCCAACCAUCAUUUUAAACAAAACAUUUCAGAUUACAUAAACUGCCUGCUUCUCACUGUGAUUUCACAAACUGAAACCACAAAAAUUCCCACAUUUUCAACAACACAAAUUCCCACUCUUCUAAGACCAAAUUAGUCCCAUAUCAGUUUUCAAAUUGCCAUUUGAAAUUGCCUACUUCUUGCCGACCAUGUUGUCGGACAUGUUUUGUGACUCUACUUCAAUUUGGGUACAUUGCUCUGCAUUAUAGGAAGAAGAUGAAAUUAAAUAUUUGUAGAUGCUUCUCAUUUAUUAUAUAAGAUCAAAUCUAAGAUCAAAUCAAAGGAAAAAAAAAAUAACGUUCUUGUUGUUGUAAGUGUUAUGCCCUAAGUCCAAUCAAACUUGGACAUAAAUAUUUUUAAUAUAUAAUUAAUACAAUUUAAUAGUAGAUCUAUUAAUUAAUUAAUAGAUAAUUAAAUUAAAUAAUAGAGUCCAUAAAUUCAAAUCUUCGUAAUUUGUUAAUCACAAGGAGUUGUAAUUGUGAGAUACAAAUUACAUAUGAUUAAAUCUUAAAUCGUUCAUGGUCGUAAGUAAUAAAGAGAUACGAAUAUCGUUAUUAUGGAUAGACCAUCACGGGUGGCAUUCUUAUUUGUGAAGUUAGUAGUUGAUUUCACAAGCUAAAGUGUGGUGACACUUGAAUGAACAUGUUGAUGUUUUGUUAUACAUUGGAGACCCGUCUAGAGAUUUCACAUGAAUAAUUAUUUGAGUGUUAGUGGGAAUGGUCACUUGACUUGAGGUCAUCAUAAUACCUUAUAUGAGGACAGUUAUACUUUGACGGUGUUGGAUGUUGCUCUGCUAAGGGCUCCUAAUACGGCAUCGUUCAGGUAUGUCAAGAAUCGUAUGAAGGUUGUGAAUGACCAAUAAAGGAUUUGUCACUCUUAGAUAGUAAGAGAUUAUGAUCUGCAUUUCAUUCAAUUAAGUAGAUGACGGAAUUCUUGGCCAAUGUGUACUCAAAAGAGGAAAAUGAGUUUUCGACUUAUAUUGACCUAAUAGUGGAGUAAAAGAUAUGAUCGAAUCGAGAUUGAGGAGUAAAAGAUAUGAUCGAAUCGAGAUUGACACACUUUCAUAUCUCGUAAUUGAUCGGAUCAUAUUAACGAAGGAAUUAUAGUUUCACGGUAAACGAACGAGUUUGAUUUUGUCAUACCACGUGACAUUUCCCGUCACAUGCAUUGCCCUGACACAUUGCUAAAUGUCAAUCUGGAACAGCCAGUGUGAAUUGGUGAUAAAUAAAAAAGGUGUUUUAACUUAUCAAUUUUGAUUAGAUCAAAAUAAUAUUUCACGUCAUUAGGCAUCAUGAUCAGGAACCUGAUGGGUUGCACACAAAAAGAAGAACUGAAAGAUUGUGAUUUAUCAAUUAAUUAAUUUAACAAGUGUUGGAUAAAUUAAUUAACUGGGUUGUUUAUUUAUAGGCCCGAAUUAAUUAAUUGGAUUAAUCAAUUCAUGGACCAGGUCAAGCCAAACCUGUUUGGGCUUAUAUAGCCCCCGUUUGGCCCCCAUUAAAUUCAAUUACAUUACAUUCUAUUUUUCUCUCUUAUUUUCAACCACACAAUCUUCCAUAAAAUAAUAUCACACGUAAAUCAAAAAAAUUUCUUCUUUUUCAACCACUCAUUUUUCAAAAAAUUACUAUUCCCCCCAUUGGGGGCAUAAAUAAGUUAUUAGGGUUUACAAUUUGGUGGAGAUUUAUUAUUAUUGCUAGCAUGAGAAGAAAAUCAUAAUCCUACAAUUUUGUUUUUUGUGUAGAUCGUAGUUGGUGGCUGGACAACUGGAUAGCCGUGGAUGGUGAAUCAAGAUCGUUGGAAAGAAAGAAUGACAAAGGAGUUUGCAAAUCUUGUAAAAUGUACAAUUUUUAUUUAAACAAAGAGGGAUUCUUGGUGGGAAUUGAAAUCUGUUUUAAUUUUCGCUAAUGUUUAAGUAGACUCCCUACAAUGAUAUCAGAGACUACUUUAUUUUUGUUAGAAAUUGCUUUGAUGUUUGGGAAGUUGAUUGUAAUUAUUUUCUUGUUUCUAGCAAUUAAGAAAAAUUAUAUUUUUGAUAUUCAAAA